rnacentral:lncRNA from 1 species
CUACAAUUUCCUGUUAAUUGGCAUGUACGUCUCAUUUAAAGCAAAUUAAGUAGGACAAGCAAGUCAGCAAAAAAUAGAAGUAUUAAAAAGAAUCAUCCUUUUAAUCACAGAUCUUAUUUUGGGAUUAAAAACUUCUAGCUUUAGCCAGGUGUGCAUGUUGCUGCCAUUUUGCAUUUUUGAAUCAUCUUGUGUAAUUGUCACCAUGAAAGUGUUACUUGGAAUUGUCAUAGAUUUUUUUCAUCUUUGUGCAAAAACAUGGAAAAUUGUUACUGACUU